GUUUUUCUCCGGGAACCCUCUUUGCGCACAAAUCCAGCCCGUCGCCAGUACCGCCAAAUGCAGUCUGGCUGGAAAAGAUCAUCCCCUGUUUUCAUCCUCCCAGUGAAUGAUACCACUAAACUAAAGCCUGGAGUUUUGGGGGCUCUGAAAUAUGAACUAGAAUGGAAUUUCCACAAGGCUGGU